GCAACCCUAGACCUCACCUCCUCUCCGCCCCUGCGCCGCUAUCCUCCUCUGCCCGCACCGCGCGAGCACCACCGACACUGCGCCUUCCUCGCUGCCGCGGCCACCGUCGUCCUCCCGCCGUUCCAAGGAGUUCGGCGGCCUCCCUACGCUCACCCUCGUCGACCUCGCCCUUGGAUCGAGCCGCUGGAGCCCGAACCACGUUGCCUCGGCCUCUUCUUCCUCGGCACCGUCCGCCACUGCCGCCUUCAAUCCGGUCAGCUCCGGCUCCGGAAAGUCGUCCCCAAGCCCGCUGCCAUCCCCUACGGCUAACCUCUCGAGAGAUCUCCACGAUAGGAUGAAACAUGGAUCGCACAACUGCAUUUUUACACAAGGCAAAGGGAAUUAACUCGAGUGAAGUCAUAGAGGUCGAGCAUAAUCCAUAUCACCCUUCUACAAGAUGUGGUGUACGGGUCUGUCAGCACAAGAUCAAACCGACCGAGGCAAGUCUACUCAAGGGAAAGGAAACUUGCUGAGCAUGAAGCAUCAACACAAGGAAGUAGAUGUAACUGCUGACUUUUUUACAUAGCCGUCAUAUCAAUGAUGCAAAAUUGACUACCUGAUCCCGUAGGUUGAAACGUUCAGCAAGAUUUCAUUGGUUGUAAGUACCAUGAUCUGAAAGUUUACAAAAUUCAGCAAUAUUUCACAUAUUGAAAUGGUAGGCUAUUCAUCUACAAAAUUAGCAGAGGAGGAUAUAGUAGAGGAGUUGCCGACGCGGCAUGGAGGUCGGAGUGGUGAGAGCCGGCUGGAACAAAAAAAAUAGAUCAAACAAGAUAUACAGUGCACCUAAUCUCAAACCAUAGAAAAAAGAUCAAGCAACUACGGGCUAGAA